GACGGGACCCCGCACAAGCGGUGGAUCAUGUUGUUUAAUUCGAUGAUACGCGAAGAACCUUUACCAGGUCUUGACAUCCCUUGCAAAGCUAUGGAGACAUAGUGGAGGUUAUCAAGGAGACAGGUGGUGCAUGGUUGUCGUCAGCUCGUGUCGUGAGAUGUUGGGUUAAGUCCCGCAACGAGCGCAACCCUUAUUGCUAGUUACCAUCAUUAAGUUGGGGACUCUAGCGAGACUGCCAGUGAUAAACUGGAGGAAGUGGGGAUGACGUCAAAUCAUCAUGCCCCUUAUGGCCUGGGCUACAAACGUGAUACAAUGGCUGAAACAAAGGGCAGCGAAGCAGUGAUGUGGAGCGAAACCCAAAAAAGCAGUCUCAGUUCGGAUUGAAGUCUGCAACUCGACUUCAUGAAGUUGGAAUCGCUAGUAAUCGUAGAUCAGAACGCUACGGUGAAUACGUUCUCGGGGUUU
rnacentral:rRNA from 1 species